AAGUCCUUUGCCUCUGUAACUUUUUCUAAAUUCUUGCAUAAUGAAAUUGUUUAUUGCAGUAUUUUAACAAUUUUACUUUGUACAGAUGAUCUCAUCAACCAAAUGAGGGGUUUUGACCAAGUGAUGCUCUUGAAAGGAGUGAAAGAAGAGGAUGUGGUAAAUUGUCUUCAGAGAAAAAGCUUCUCAAAAGAUCUUAAAACAGCUUGAAGAAUGGUCUGGGAUCUUAGGACUGGGAGAUCUCACUUGCACCCAGUUAACCACCAUAGAGAACAUUUAUCAGAAGCGCUGUCUGGGUAGGGCAAGAAACAUCAUCAAGGAUGCCUCUCACCCUAACCAUGGACUUUUCACCCUCCUUCCAUCCGGCAGGCGUUACAGGAGCCUACGCUCUCGAACUAGUACCUGCUCUUUUACUGCACUGGUCACAGUACUUUACAUACAUGUAUUGCACUACUCAUAUUUUGCACAGACUGCACAUGGUUAAAUCCAUUACACUAUAAACUGUCUAAAGCUGUUACUGUACAAGCACAGUAAACUAUUUCUACAAUAAAUAUAAUUGCACUACUAUUAUUUUGCAUAUAAUAAAUUGUUAAACUAUACUUUUGCACACUCAUUCAACUGUAUUUAUUACCACUGUUCUCAAGUUCCUGCUAUUCAUAAUGUAUAUAUAAUUCUUCUUUGCUCUGUUCAUAAUGUACAUACAAUCCCUACAUUAAAUUCAUAUUUAUAUUCUGUAUAUACUCUGAUCAAUAUUGUAUAUAGCAACUCCACUGUAAAUUCUGUAUAUCAUAGCUUUACUUACUCUGCACUUUUAUGUAUAUAAAACACUAUAUUCUUGCACUUCUGGUUAGAUGCUAACUGCAUUUCAUUAGCUCUGUACUUGUACUCUGCAUAAUGACAAUAAAGUUGAAUCUAAUCUAAUAUAAUCUAAUCUAAUCUUCUGGCUGAGAACAAGCUACACCACAUCAGUGCUGGAUAUCAACCAAAAGCUUUUUCCAGACACGAGAGAAGAUCACGAUGAAACCAGUUUAGAUGUGUUGAUAAGGAAUCAUUAUUUUCUGAAACAGUAUCAAAUGUCUUAUAUGUAUCACAUGAUCUGUAUCACAGUUGACUGGAUGGGACUGUGACUUUUAAGGACAUUUCAUCACUCAUCUGUGUGAACUGAUUAAUAUAUGAGGUUAAUGUAUUUUUGAUUAUGAAUAAUUAUUUUCCUUGAAUCUUAUUUGUCUUGAUGCUACUUUAUCAUCUUUAUAGUCUAUGCUUCAAUAAAAUGAAUAUGACGAA